AGUAGCAGAGGGGGCGAUCAGGGGACUGCAAGAAGAAUCCACACGUUAUGUGAGAAGAAAACUGAGCUGGGGAACAGGUGUGGCUGUGCUGGCUCAUCGGCCUGGUAACGAUGCCGUGAACCAUCAGUGGAAGAUGGGAGUCGGGUUAAGCUCUUGCUCCAAAGAACUUCCAGUCUAACAACAGAUGUCAGGGAAGAGGAAUAACAACCUGCAACUCAUACAAAUCAAUCAGAUCCAGUAUAGGCAGCAUGCAACCUGACUGAUGGAAAGGCAGCUAUUUCUGGGGCAGAACAUGCUGGCAGUUAUACACCACCAAAAUAAC